UUUGGGAGCAAGCAGAAACAAUUAUAAUCUAGGAUGUACAACAUUAGCAAGCCACGUAUGCAUCCAAAGAGGCAAGGAUAAAGAGAAUCUUUUUUUGGAAAAAGGAGAGGUCCAUGUAAGCUGCUUGGAAACAGAGUUCAUUGGUUCUGGAGGCUCAAAGCCAGAGUUGGCAUCAUUUCAUUGGUGAAGAUAUCAUCACUGAAGUGACACGAAGUAACAAGUAAAGAACAAUAUGAGAAGAGAGACCACUGAAGAAUGAAAAAACUUUGUAUUUUAUCUUUUUAACAGCACAUUUUUUUCAUGCUAUUUGAACAAGGGGCUGCACAUGAUAAUUUUGCCCUGGGCCCUGCAAUUUGGACUACUAGCCCUGAUUUGGGGGGACAUUUUUGUAAACUUAACAGUCUAUUUCCAUAGGCCUUAUAAAUUCUGUGAAGUACCUAAAAUUCCUUUAUUAAUCCCUUUCAUUUAAAAAUAAAUAGAGUGACAUCACUUGUUUUGG
rnacentral:lncRNA from 1 species